UACGGAGGGUGCAAGCGUUAUCCGGAUUUACUGGGUUUAAAGGGUGCGUAGGCGGGUAGGUAAGUCAGUGGUGAAAUCUUCAAGCUUAACUUGGAAAUUGCCGUUGAUACUAUUUAUCUUGAAUAUCGUUGAGGUUUGCGGAAUAUGUCAUGUAGCGGUGAAAUGCUUAGAGAUGACAUAGAACACCUAUUGCGAAGGCAGCAGGCUAAACGAACAUUGACGCUGAGGCACGAAAGCGUGGGGAUCAAACAGGAUUAGAUACCCGUGUAGUCC
rnacentral:rRNA from 1 species